GUCAUGGCUCAGGACGAACGCUGGCGGCGCGCCUAACACAUGCAAGUCGAACGAGCGAGAGAAAGCUUGCUUUCUCGAGCGAGUGGCGAACGGGUGAGUAACGCGUGAGGAACCUGCCUCAAAGAGGGGGACAACAGUUGGAAACGACUGCUAAUACCGCAUAAGCCCACAGGUCGGCAUCGACCAGAGGGAAAAGGAGCAAUCCGCUUUGAGAUGGCCUCGCGUCCGAUUAG
rnacentral:rRNA from 1 species